rnacentral:rRNA from 1 species
GAUGAACGCUGGCGGCGUGCCUAAUACAUGCGAGUCGAGCGAACAGAUGAGGAGCUUGCUCCUCUGACGUUAGCGGCGGACGGGUGAGUAACACGUGGAUAACCUACCUAUAAGACUGGGAUAACUUCGGGAAACCGGAGCUAAUACCGGAUAAUAUAUUGAACCGCAUGGUUCAAUAGUGAAAGACGGUUUUGCUGUCACUUAUAGAUGGAUCCGCGCCGCAUUAGCUAGUUGGUAAGGUAACGGCUUACCAAGGCAACGAUGCGUAGCCGACCUGAGAGGGUGAUCGGCCACACUGGAACUGAGACACGGUCCAGACUCCUACGGGAGGCAGCAAUAGGGAAUCUUCCGCAAUGGGCGAAAGCCUGACGGAGCAACGCCGCGUGAGUGAUGAAGGUCUUCGGAUCGUAAAACUCUGUUAUUAGGGAAGAACAAAUGUGUAAGUAACUAUGCACGUCUUGAUGGUACCUAAUCAGAAAGCCACGGCUAACUACGUG